GUAGGGUAUUGGCUUACCGUGGCAGUGACGGUUAACGGGGGAUUAGGGUUCGAUUCCGGAGAGGGAGCCUGAGAAACGGCUACCACAUCUAAGGAAGGCAGCAGGCGCGCAAAUUACCCAAUCCUAACAGCAUAAGGGAGGUAGUGACAAGAAAUAACAAUACAAGGCAAUUAAAAUGCUUUGUAAUUGGAAUGAUAGAAAUUUAAACACUUUCUAAAGUAUCAAUUGGAGGGCAAGUCUGGUGCCAGCAGCCGCGGUAAUUCCAGCUCCAAUAGCGUAUAUUAAAGUUGUUGCAGUUAAAAAGCUCGUAGUUGGAUUUCUGCUAAGAAUAACUGGUCUGCUUUAAUUUAAAGUGGUACCUUAGUGUGUUUUUAGCAUUAAUGUCCUAUGAAAUGUUUUUUACUUUAUUGUUUAAAGCAAUUUUCAGGAUUUUUACUUUGAGAAAAUUAGAGUGUUUCAAGCAGGCUAACGUUUUGAAUACUGCAGCAUGGAAUAAUAAAAUAGGAUUUUGGUUCUACAUUAUUGGUUUUAAGAACUAAAUUAAUGAUUAAUAGGGACGGUUGGGGGCAUUUGUAUUUGACU
rnacentral:rRNA from 1 species